rnacentral:misc_RNA from 1 species
UUGUGGAGGAGGACGCCGAAGGUGGGGCUAAUGACUGGGGUGAAGUCGUAACAAGGUAGCCGUACCGGAAGGUGCGGCUGGAUCACCUCCUAACAGGGAGACAAAACUGAUUAAGAUGUCUAAAUUAAAAAUUUUAGGCCUUAAUCCUGUCACCUUAGGUCGAUCGGUACCUCAAUUAAAGUGCUAUAAAACUAAUAAAAAUAGAAUUUAUAGCUUUAAAUCAGUUCCUAAACUUUGUCUAGUUCACACCCAUCAAUGGUACUCCUGGGCCAUUAGCUCAGGUGGUUAGAGCGCACCCCUGAUAAGGGUGAGGUCCCUGGUUCAAGUCCAGGAUGGCCCAUUCGGUGUUGGGGGUAUAGCUCAGUUGGUAGAGCGCCUGCUUUGCAAGCAGGAUGUCAGCGGUUCGAGUCCGCUUACCUCCACUGAUCCACCCCCUGAUAGCUGAAAUUAAAACAAGGAGUCACUCUUUGUUUGAUGUGAUUUAGACCUAAGUUUCUAUGAAUGACCCUAGCUUCCUAUCAUUCCUUUAUUUAAAUACUUUGUAUUAGGUUGAUAGCACGCUGGGCUCACUACAAUUUUACGGAAUUGUAGAGAUGUUCAGUAGAACCUUGACAACUACAUAGGUAAGUUUGAAAAGAAUAAGCAUCUCAUGGAUGCAUUAAUUCUUAGAAAACAGAUUAUUUUUUGCUAUUGCAUUAAAAAUAUUCUGUUUUGAAAAGAUUAAUGUUUAAUUUCUUGAGUCAAGAGCCGAUACUCUAUAACUUUUAUUAUAGAGAUUUAUUGGUCAAGCUACAA